UACGUACGAGGCGAGCGUUAUCCGGAAUUACUGGGCGUAAAGCGCGCGCAGGCGGAUGUUUAAGUAGGGCGUGAAAUCUCCCGGCCUAACUGGGAGGGGUCGCCCUAGACUGGGCGUCUUGAGGACAGCAGAGGUGGGUGGAAUUCCUGGUGUAGUGGUGAAAUGCGUAGAGAUCAGGAGGAACACCGGUGGCGAAGGCGGGUCUCUGGGCCGAUAUCGACGCUGAGGAGCGAAAGCGUGGGGAGCGAACAGG
rnacentral:rRNA from 1 species